GUGCCAGAAGUUUCGGUUAUGCAAAUAGAACAAGUAGUUUACAUUAAAGGUAUAAAGGAUUAGUAGACGGAUUAUUUAUUAAAAAUUCGAAAUCUAGAAUAAAAUAAUUGAUUAUAUUUAAUGAAAAAUAGAAGUAAAAGUUAAAUUUAAUAAUAUCUAUUGGACAAUCAUUAAAUGAAAAUAUUAAAUAAUAAUUUUAUUGACGUUGAGAUAAUGAAACCUAAAGUAUCAAGUUGGACUUGUUAACCAAUUAGUUUUAGGUGUAAACUAUGUAUAUUAAUAAUUAAUAUUAUAUACACUUAUUCCUAAAAAAGGAAAGUGUAUUAAAUAUAUAAUAAUUAUAAAGAUAAUUUAAUAAUAUACCACCUGAAAAGUAUAAUACAGAAUUGAAAUUUAAAACAAUAGGCCGUUUAGUUUAUUAACAGUGGAUCAUGUUAUUUAAU
rnacentral:rRNA from 1 species